AUUGAACGCUGGCGGCAGGCCUAACACAUGCAAGUCGAGCGGAUGAAGGUAGCUUGCUACCUGAUUCAGCGGCGGACGGGUGAGUAAUGCCUAGGAAUCUGCCUGGUAGUGGGGGACAACGUUUCGAAAGGAACGCUAAUACCGCAUACGUCCUACGGGAGAAAGUGGGGGAUCUUCGGACCUCACGCUAUCAGCUGAGCCUAGGUACGAUUAGCUAGUUGGUGAGGUAAAGGCUCACCAAGGCGACGAUCGUUAACUGGUCUGAGAGGGUGAUCAGGCACAAUGGAACUUAGAAACGGUCCAGAAUCCUACGGGAGGCAGCAGUUGGGAAUAUUGGAAAAUGGGAGAAAGGCUGAUCCAGCCAUGGCGGGUGUGUUAAGAAGGUCUUCGGAUUGUAAAGCACUUUAAGUUGGGAGGAAGGGCAGUAAGUUAAUAACUUGCUGAUUUGACGGUACCGACAGAAUAAGCACCGGCUAACUCUGUGCCAGCCGCCGCCGUAAAAC
rnacentral:rRNA from 1 species